AAAGUUUAUUGACUUUGGAUGCAUGAUCUCUGAGUCUAGAUCCCAUCUUUGCUGCUUGAAUUGCAAGAUGAAAAUAAUAUGAAAUAUGAAUAUGGCAAUCCUUGGUCUAACCACUAAAUGACACAGAGAGAUGGACUCAGCUACCAUGGGCAGCACUCAGCACCACCUCCUAAUGAAAAAUGGAAGUCAAAUUUUGGGCUGGGGACAUAAAUUUUUCCCUAUUUUCUAUUUCUGAUCUCUCAGCAGCUAUGCAAGAGCAAUAUCUGUCAGUAUCAGAGUUACUUACACCACACCAUACUAGAAAAUUCAAGAUCAGCCUAUGCACCCUGCCUGCACUAAAGGGCAUGGCUAUGCAGGAAAGUAGAUGGGAAACAUAGGUUUUUUAUUGAUUUCUUCUGCAGUUUUUAACAGUUUUUCUCAAGUGUAUAAAUUUUAAUUUAAAAUGCAAAUUUGUACCCAUAUAAUUGACUAAAAUAUAGUCAAAUUAGUACUGUUAGCAGUGAUUUAUUUCAUGUCACCAAGAGAAAAAUCAUAAAAACUAACAUGACACAGAAGAAAAAUUCCUAUUAGUUAAAAGCUUUGUAGCAUAGCAAACAAUUCCCACUGAUGAGUAAAAAAGGAGUUGUUAUGUAGACUGAAUAUAUCUUAAAUGAUAAAGCAAUUACAAAUUGACAAGACUGCUCUAAUGGAAUGAUAAUGGCUAUCAAGGGUAAUAUCCAAUAAUAACAGAGAAUAAGCAACUGAGCUAAUAGAUCAAUUAAACCUACAAGAAAAUUUGUGCCCACUUUGUCAUAGUGGCUGUUCCAAGAGCGGAUGUUCUACACAGAACAAUCUCCCACAGCCAAGGGACAAACUCGGUUUUUAACAACUUUUGUCUCAGAAAUUCAAAGAUUAGGAAAAAAUUGAGAAAAUGAAUGUUCAGCUAGGUGAAGAGAACAUUUUGUAGGAAGUGUAAAAAUUUGUCUUUGAGCCACUGUGAUUCAAAAUUCCAAUCAAAAAAAUUGGGUUAUUUUCAUUUUUUUCCUAGUUUUCCUUAUGGAUGAAUCUAAAUAUUGUCAGAAAAGCCAAGAUAUGUUAGAACUAAAGAGAAGAUUGAAAUCCUUGGUUCCCCCACUGGAGAAGCCUCCACCUCCAUGGCAGCCCGUGCUGUUAAGCAGCUGAAGCAAACAGAUCCACCAGUGUUUUAUUUAUUUAGUGCAUUGCCAGCGCGCGGGCUGCACUUUAUCACGGUGACGGCUGAAUCCAUCAUCCUCUACCUGCAGCUAUAAUAGGAGUGCUCUCAAAUCAACAAGUCUUUCCUUCAGAGUAACUGAACUGUAAAUUGUCCUUGACCAGUCAGACAAACAAAAACAACCUUCCCUGUUAAUCUGCUGAAGACAAACAGCCCGGUGUCUCCCCUCCUGCCAAGAAGGAUGUUGGUGGCAGGGGUGGUUUAUGUGCCGCAUCCCUCACGCGGGGCCAUCCCGCCCCCAGGUUCACCUGCUCACUGAGGGAUGGAGACAAAGAUGCAAUCCGACCUCUAAAAAUGUAAAUAAUCAUUUUGUUUCUAGGGUCAUGAUGCUGGUUUUAAUGGAAAUGAGGUUUCCUGGAUUGUUAGGGUAUAUUAGAGACAUACAAGGGAUAACUUCCAAUACCACAGGCAUGACAUCCCGAUAAUCUUAUGUUAAACAUAGGCAAGUUUUUACUCUUGUGCAUGAUCAGAAAACCAAUUUCCUAAAACACAAUUAGAAAAAUAACUAAUGAUGCCUGGGCUUCACGAUUCUGAAUUUCUAGUUCACACACAUAUAUAUAAAAAUUACUGGAAACACUUUUUAUUUAAUUUUCUGUGUUUCUUGUGGCAGCAACCGAGUGCGAAUAUUUUCUCUCUCCUCAUCACUCUUUGUAACUGACUUUUUAAGGUGUUUUACCAAAAAAAAAGCAUUCCUGAAAGGCUCCAUUAAAGAAAUGCUGACACAUUAUGUUACAGUAUGUUACAGUAUCUUGGGUUCUAUCAGUCACAUUUCAUUACUUUUACAUAACAUGGCUCUAUUGAUGCAACCUGAUGUGACAUGUCACACUGCAGUGUCAGCGACAAACUUGGGCUAAAAAGUUUUCCUCCUCAAAACCCCUGUCUUGACAAAACACAGGAGGGAUGACUACACAUAUUCCUUUAUUUAUCACCACAAAUAAAUAAUUUAAAUUAAGACUAACGCCACGCCUGUGUGUUAGCAUAUAAUUCCCUGCCACAUUUGUGCACACUAUGUGCAAAGUGGGUAAUUGUUGGAGUGUUUUACUACUGCCACAUCUUUAUUCAGAACAUCCAGAGGUGUCUGGGUCAACAGCUUCCUAUUUAUUCAAAUUUAUAUUGACUAGCUUCAGAAGGCAAAGCUGACAAAAUGAUUAAUUAGACUUUAUAACUCAUUGGCAGCCUGCAGUUUAAUAGAAUUAGCAGAGCUUAAGUUCAUCUUUAAAUACCAUGACGGUUUUAAUUUUAAAAACGUCAAAUUACAUUUUUCAGUCAGCACCAGAUACGAGAUGACUUAUUCCAAACUUAUGGGAAACCCAAAAAGGCUAAACAGUCACCAUGUUUAAGAUUGGAUUUUUAUGGCAAUUAAAAUCUUUAAGGAACAGAUUAAUAUUUUCUUUUUCCCCACAUUAUGCAGCUGCACUCCCUGGGUAGGCAGCAAGUGGACCAGGUAUGAGGGUUUUUAUAGUGUGGGAUUUCUUGUGCUCCAUCAAAAAUUAUUUAAACUGGACCAUUUCAACAAAAAUAGGGACUUAUUGUUUACAUUUGCUUUGUUUUUAUUUUAAAACCUUUUCUAAUGCAGAGAAACAAGUUUUAUAUUACCUUUCCAUUUCACUCUGGGAUGCUUUUUGCAAAAGGAUAUAUCAGAGUAAUGAUAUUCGUGCUAAUAAGCAAUUGUAACUGAUAAUUUUAGACUAAGCUGUAUUAAAUAUCAAUUUUUAUAAGGGAUGAAAUUUAGCAAAGGUGGACAGGUCUAAUAAGAAAUGGUCUUAGCAUGCAAAUCCCCAUAAUUCCUGUAACAGCUUGCUGUAUAUUAGUUUUUCAAUCCUUAUCUAGACCAUUAAUGUUGAAACUGUAGAAACAGGGGAAAUACAAAAUUCAAAUUAUGCUUUGACCCCAGCCAUGGAAAACAUGUAAUUUUAAUCAACCACUGAGUUUUAUGAAAACCCCUCACCCAAUUAAAAGAACCCCACUUUGAUGUCCAAAGAUUUGCAGUCGUGGCCCCCGUGUUCAAAGCUGAGUAUUCCUGCUUUGGUGUGGGACUCAGAAACCCCGAAUCCAUUCAAAAUUCAGGAUUUCAAUUGCAGUUGAACACUUGUCCUGAGCACAGGCAAUGCAGGGGACUCUGCUGACUUGCCCCUGUACCUUGGUGUUCUUGGAAAUCAUCUCCCUGGUUCCUCUGCAUUCCCAGAACACACGUGAGUUACACCUGCAUGUACGAGCAGCUUGUGAGAAGAAGCUUUGAUUUGAAAAUAAUGCAUUAAUUUAAUAUUAAUCAUGAUUUGGCAUUAAUUCUGAACUUAUUCUGGAGUGUUUUACUUCAGAGUCACCCUGGUUUACUUUACAGACACAAAGGGUGUUAAAAAAAUUGGUGAUUUACACAUUUAGGUUGACAUCACAUAUAAAGACCAUUUAAACAAUACUUGAUGAAGAAAUGAUGUCUUAGGGGAGAUAAUAAUAGAUGAAUUGUACAAAAAAAAGAAAAAA
rnacentral:lncRNA from 1 species